GAUCAGACUUGGUAUUUUGCAUGCUGCUCUCUCGGGGGCGGCCGCUGCGGUUUACCGGGCCAGCAUCGGUUUGGAGCGGCAGGAUAAUGGCGGAGGAAUGUGGCACGGCUUCUGCUGUGUGUUAUAGCCUCUGACGAUGCUGCCAGCCUAGACCGAGGACUGCGGUUUUUAACCUAGGAUGUUGGCAUAAUGAUCUUAAGUCGCCCGUCUUGA
rnacentral:rRNA from 1 species